AUUUUCUAUCUCAAAUAAACAAAGAAUUUUACCUUUAAGAAAACUUAAUUUACACGUAAAUUUAUACAACAUAUUUUGCACUUCCACACAACUGCCCGCUCUUCGUAUAAACUAAUCAACGUGUUAUUCAUGCCGAUAUGUCCAGGGGCAAUGUUCAUUCAGGCUUAGUUCGUUCAGCACGAGCUUUUUGUGACUACAGAUACAUGUACAAUAUUAUUGUCAGAUCUGCAAGCGGAAAAUCAUGCAAGCUGGGAGAGUCUAGAAGCUGUAAACUGCAGACAGGAUAUGCUAACUGACAAGAUUGUUGUACAGAGCCUGAAUUGUAAUGAUAAUGAUGAAGAUGAUAACAAUGAUGAUGAUGGCAAUGAUGAUGUUGGGUACCACUGCGAAUCAACCAUAUGUUCUCUACAGUGUUUACCUUGGCUAGAUUAGGCAGUAGAAACACCAAAACAGUGUACAGUGUACAUAGCAUGUAAAGACUGUCUUGAUGGCAAAGGUAAAGAUCACAGAUGCAGCAAGCAACAGACAAGUAGCAGUCACAGAUAAAACAACAUUACAUUGCAUAGUUAAAAGCAUGUUACACUUUCAACAGGAUUGCUGUAAAUAAGCGCAUUUAACUGACCAGUGUAAAGAUUCCUGUAAAGCAAACGACAAGUCUAACAUCCAGUCAGGUAUAGUAAACUUUCAAAGAUAUAUCAGAUAUGUGAAAACCAUUAAAAAGUCAGCUCGCUUGCUUCAUUUUCAGAAAUCCCCACGUAGCAGAUGAAUAAAGACAAGAGAACAAGAGCAGACAAAGUUCACAGUCCAACCUCGGAUGUUUGUUUCUGAUACUUACCAAUACAAACACAAGACAGGGUCUAUAAAGGACUCUUGUAUUUCCAAUCUAAAAAGUGGGACAAAGUUCUACACAACAGCAGAUGAACACUGUCAUCUCAUAAACAAAGACAAACAUCCGUAAUUUUUAUAUUAAAAUGUCGUCUUUUUAACACUGCGGUUGUACAUGCAUGUAUAAAUGUUCUUUUGUUGUUCUGUGUUUAUUUAUUUGGGUGUUACUGUCUUGUCAUGUCCAGGUUUUGUUUCUUUUCAGUAGAUUGUACCAAAGGUGGAGUGUAUCAGUGUGCAUGUUGACAAUGUUUUUGGGUGUCUUUUGUUUUCAGUGAUUGGUUUCUGUUUGGUGUUUUUUUUGUGUGUGUGUGUUUUACAAUCUUGAGUGUUUAUUUGUGGUGUUUUGUUUGUUUGUUUUUGACAAUCUUGAAUGUUUAUUUGUGGUGUUUUGUUUGUUUUUGACAAACUUGAAUGUUUAUUUGUGGUUUUUUGUUUGUUUUUUGACAUUUUUUAAUGUUUAUUUGUGGCGUUCUGGUUGUUUUUGACAAUCUUCAAUGUUUAUUUGUGGUGUUUUGUUUGUUUUUGACAAUAUUGACAGUUCAUUUGUGGUGUCUUCUUUUCAGUGUAGCUUUUAUUAUUGGAGGUUUUCUGACAUAUUGCAUGCGUGGUGCAGUUUGCCAUCUUGCCUCUCUCUCUUAUGAGUGUCACUAACAAACCCACUACUUAAUAUUGCAGUAGUUAAUAUUGUAAGGAUAUAAACAUGAGUUUUGUAUACACAAAAUACAUAGACAAAGUAAAAUGUAUAGACUCUGAAGACAAAUCAGUUAAUUAGAUAUAGGAACAGGUAUAGUGAGCACUGCUGAGCAUCAGUCAAAGGCCAUGUCUUCAUGUAAAUAAUGUAAUUUACCGGUAGUUUUAUUGUUGCAGUGAACACAAAUGUAGGAUACAGAUGAGAGGGAACCAAGUGUUGACAGAUACAGAAUGCAGGUAAGAGAUGUAGCAGCUGCAGAUGACAUGAUUUCAGAUUGGGAAAUUGUGGGGGGAAAUCUUACUUUUUGUUUGUCUUUCUAUUUUUAAAGCAUCUUUGAGGGAUCUAGGAACAAGGAGAUGACUGUUGAUUAUUGACAGUAAAGGUGUAAGUGUUUUAGAUGUCAAGCUAUAUAUUAGAGAGGGGUCGGUGCAGUACUUGCAAAAAACAUUGGUCAAGAGAAGGAAGUUCUCAAAAUAAAGGUUUGUACUUCUUCCUGUUGUCUAUAUGUAUGUGUAUCUCCAAGUGAGUGUCAAGUUUUCCUGUAACAUAGCUUAAUGUUUCCACAUUUUCUCUCAAGUUUUACAUAAGUUAACUUUGAAACAGACGUACAAUGAGAUGUCCUGUAUCAAAUUCAUGCUUAAAGUUUUCUACAAUGUAAAGAAGUGUGUAACUGAUAUUCAUGUAUUUCUGGUUAAAAUGUAUUUUUUAUUUGUCCUACUUGUUUAUUUUAUGUAAGUUAUUUUAAAUGAUACAACUUUGUUUUGGUUUUUUAUUUUCAUAUUUUCAGGAUAAUCUUUUCCAGGACUACAAAGGCAGAUUAUUAUAAUUAUAAUGUCAUUGAUAUAAGUGCUGUGUAUUUUAGGUAGCUGUACCAAGUAUAUAUGUUGAAGUGGAGGCGAGACGUGUGUACUUUUACUUUCUUUGAUUGCUAUAUUUUUUCUCUAUCAUUUAAGAUACAGAACUAAUCCUGUUUUUGUUUACGUAGAUGCUGGUCGACCCUGGUAACAGAAUGAGCUACGAAUGCGAAUGUAGAUGGUGAUCGUGACUUAUUUUCAUGGAGGUGUAGAUGGGACUAACAUGCACUACCUGAUGCGGUGGUGUUCCUAGUGAAUUUCUGAUUGUGAGACUAUUUCCAAACCAGCUCAGUUCAUAAACUAAGAAAGUCUGAGGGUAUGCAUGAAAGGGUGACUAAAUUUGGAAGAGUGAAAGACAGACAGAGGAUUUCUCUGACAUGGGACAAUUUCCAAAACAGCCAAGAAAUCUUCACAGAUGUGAAUCCACUGUCAGUAAAGGUACUAAAAGUACUGAAGAUGACCAAUGAAAAACAUUCUUUCAAAUGGUACUAUCUGGCGGGAAUGUAGGACGUUUUGGCCAGCGGACGUUUUGGCCUAGGAUAUAAUUUGGCCUAGUAAGAUGUUUUGGCCAGGCAAAUUUUUGUGAAUAUUUUCAAGUCCCUUCGAAGAGAAUGUUUGUGGAAGAAAGCUCCUGGCUACAAGAGUCCUCUGCUGCACUGAUACAAGCAUUGUUGGCUGUGAUUUGUGACAAGAAGUUUGACAAAUGUUUUGAAGUUCAGCAUAUUGUGAUAAAAUCAAACAUGAACAGAAGAAAAAUCAAAUUUUGGACAGUUUUGGAAAUGAUCUAUUAAUUGUAUUUUCUGUUUUAUAACUUGUGCUUACCAGAGCACAAAGUGCUUAAGGUGAGCUAUUGUGAUAAUUCAAUGUCUGUCUGUAAGUUAUUUUCCUCGAACAACCUCCUCUUAAAGAGUUUGUUGGACGUUGAUGAAACUUUGCCUGGGUGUUCCUUUGGUGGUCAUCUUCUUACUUGUUCAGAGUGUACUGAUCAGAUGCAUAUAGGAGCUGCCUGAACUAAGAAUAGAAAAUAUUUUAUUAAACAGUGUCUCCUAACCCAUUGAUCUAUCUAAUGUAUAAUGGUUUAACUGGAUGACCCUGGACUCUGAUUUGUUAAAAAUAUAGCUGCUAGGGUCAGUUUUCCCCAAUAUGUAUAUACAUGAAGUGUAAACUUUCAAUAUCUUGUCAGAAACAAGGUCAGGGUUACUUGCUGCUAAAAUAGAACAAGUAUGCCCACUGGCAGAAUGUCGAGCCUGCCAGCUGUCUAAGUUUGACCUUUACCUUAGACCUAGGGACCUGGUUCUUGUGCAUGACACUCUGUCUGAUAAUGGUGAACAUUCAUACCAAAUUACAUCAAAAUCCCACCAUGCAUGAAGAAGAAAUGCUCCUGACAAACUUCAAUUUGACCUUUGACGUCCAACUGUGACCUUGACCUUUGAGAUAGGAACAUGGGGUUUGUGCAUGACACUCUUUUCAUUGAGGUAAACUCAUGCCAAAUAUAAACAAGAUUGGUUCAUGCAUGUCAAAGUUCUAGCCGGAUAAAAUUGGACGGACGCAUAUAUUUAUGCACGCACAUACACCGAACCGCUAAAAGUGACGACUAAGUCGGGCUCACCACAAGCAAGCUUGACAAAAAUGUUUUCCAAUCAGUAUUUUUAGUUUUGAUGCAACUGUUAUCAACAAACACUGAUUGUGUAUGCUUUUAUUGAGACAAAAUCUGGGAUUUUAUUUGGUGUUACUUGGGUCAAGGUUAUUGCUACUAAACAUAGAAAAUGGUUUCUGCUAAACAUCUUUAGUUUGGGUAGUCUUAUUGUCAACAAAUUAUGUGUGCAUAUAGCUUUUUAAGAGACAAAGGUUCUGUUAUUUUGUAAAGUUCAUUAAGUCCUUAGACUUUUAUUUUACAACUGUUCAGU